UGCUUCAUGCUUUGAUGGAUGUGUAUACCCUGUUUUAAAGCUCCCAUUUUGGCACAGGCAUGGACGACACUAGCAAAGGUUGUGAAAUCUGGCUUUAAACCUGCCAGUUGAAUUUGCGUGAAAGUUUCUUAAGCCUUCUCACAAAAUCCAUUUUGCAUACAUUUCUACCAAGGCAGUUGAAACUACAACAUCUGACAAAAGUCCUUUAUCCUCUAUUCUCUUAUGGAUGUCUAUACCCUGUUCCAAAGCUCCUAAUUUUGCAGAGCCAGUGAGGAUGAUAGCAAAGGUUGUGGAAUUCGUCUCUACACCCGCCAGUGGCAUUUUAUUUAAGGUUUCUAAAGCCUGGUAUGUAUGAAGCUCGUUUUGUCCCUCCGUGCAUCUUUGCGAUAGGUAGAUUUCCAUAAAAGGGGGACAACUUCCGUAUGGCUUGUGGUUUCAGAUAACUGUUCAAAUUCUGUCUCAGAUAUGGAGUCUUCCCAAUAUAUCUUCUGUUGCUCUUCAAUCUUCGGAGGAUGCGGCGUUGUAUCCCGCCCUUUCUGUUUGAUGUCCCUUCUUAUAUGCAUGGGAUAAGUGAGAGAGGGCAGCAGUGGAUGUACACUAUUACAGAUAUAUGGGAUUGAGCGCCUGGAUUUUGCUAAAAUAUCUUCUUUGAUGCGGCUGAGACACAAUUAUUCAUCAGAAAAAGAAAAGACCAGAAGACCAUACCUGAUAGCUGAAACGGUAAAAGAGAUCCUAACAGAUUCCUGAGUUUGAAGCAAACAAACAAUAUCAGAGACAAAAUAUGUAGGAAUUCUAAAUGUUUCCAGAAGAUGUUUACAGAAGUUUCGUA